rnacentral:rRNA from 1 species
CUACGGAAGGCAGCAGUGGGGAAUAUUGGACAAUGGGCGCAAGCCCGAUCCAGCCAUGCCGCGUGAGUGAUGAAGGCCUUAGGGUUGUAAAGCUCUUUCGUCAGGGAAGAUAAUGACGGUACCUGAAGAAGAAGCCCCGGCUAACUUCGUGCCAGCAGCCGCGGUAAUACGAAGGGGGCUAGCGUUGCUCGGAAUCACUGGGCGUAAAGCGCACGUAGGCGGCUUUCUAAGUCAGGGGUGAAAUCCUGGAGCUCAACUCCAGAACUGCCUUUGAUACUGGAAAGCUUGAGUUCGAGAGAGGUGAGUGGAACUGCGAGUGUAGAGGUGAAAUUCGUAGAUAUUCGCAAGAACACCAGUGGCGAAGGCGGCUCACUGGCUCGAUACUGACGCUGAGGUGCGAAAGCGUGGGGAGCAAACAGGAUUAGAAACCCCUGUAGUCC